rnacentral:lncRNA from 10 species
AAAACCUCACCAGAACCGCGCGGAAGUGAGAAGUCGCGGCCAAAGGCGCCCGCAGAAGCCUCCUCUCUGGGCCGGACCCCAGCCCGAGCGGCCGAAAGGAGCCCCCCGCCCGGAUCACAGGUGUGUUGCUGGCAAUAUGUGGCCCCAGGGGAGAGGCAAAAGUGGAGGUUCCCGAGUCAUCUGAGAUUUGUUGCCUCGGAACAGGAUCCACAGCUCAAUAAUAGUCACUGUACUGUCAUUGUUUAUUUGAAAUCU